AAGAUUAAGGCGCCUCAUAAAAGAAGUCUCUUGGCUAGAGAGGUAACGAUCUUUAUUGCAGCCAACACAGAGUGAGUGGCUCUGACGGCUCUCAGGGCAUGCAUUUCUUCACAGGUGAACUCUUCCCUGCUUCUCCCGCUCUUGCAAUGGACUCUUUCCUGCCCAGCUGGGAGAGUUGUGCUGUAUUUAGACGAAGGCCACUUAUUUUCAAGUCCAGAUUCGGCUCCUGGGCUGUUUAGCUGACUAAGCUUUCUGAAAUCCCAAACUCCCCGUCCAUGAAGAAGAUUAAGUCACCUCUGCCAUCGGGGAUUAGAGGACUCACGUGGCCAUGUUGUGAAAAACAUGAAGUGCUCUGUACAUGUGAUGCUGCAUUUGUUGGUUUGCUUUUCUUCCUUCCGGCCACCUCUCCCCACACAGUUCACUGUCCCACAUCAAGGCUGGGAAGACUUCCAGUUUAGGAGUGGAAUCAGUGCCGUCUAUACAUUCUACUUGCGCCUUCUCCAUCUGUUUCUUCCCUUUGUCUUGCUGCGUUCAUACGACGCGAUGUGGCAGAAGGCUGCUUAGUGCUGUGUGCAGAUGAAAUAAACAAGGCCCCGCUGUCUCAGGGCAGCAGGAAAGGGAGAGAAAGUUGAAGUUUACAUAUGAAAAUUGAAGUGGAAGAGUUGAAGCUACCAUUUGCCCAAUUCAGGCUGAAACCUUUGGCCACAACUAUUUCGGUAAGGAAAGUAAUUGUGCAUGUUUAUUUGGCUAAACUAUCC
rnacentral:lncRNA from 1 species